UGGUAGAGCCCCCGACGGGGAUUGAUUGCGUGGCUGACUUCCUGUGGAACCGAGCUCUUCCAAUGGAGUCGUCGUCUUCCUCGUUUCCAUCUUUCGAGUAUUCUCUUUCUCAUUGGGAUUAUCUCGACCUAUACAUACUACGUCCGAUCCUCGCAAUUCUGUUCACUUUCUCCUUGAUUUCUCUCGGUUGGUUUUUGGCGUGGAAGCUUGUUCUCGUUCACGUCCCUCUGGUGCAGGAAAUUUUUGGUCUACGUAAGAAACCUGCCAAGUCAAAACCUCCGACGCGCAGACUAUCGAAGUUUUAUGAUAGUCUGAAUUCCCAAACUUCGGCUUCUGGCUGGUUUUGUGUUUACAGAUGUUUGAGCUUGGAGGCCAUCUUAAAUGAAUUGCAGAACUUAAAACUAGGGAAGGAAAGCAGUUCUACUGGCCAAUUGUUUGUGAGGACAAAUUGAAAAGGUCCCGUUUCAAGCUUGAGAUAUGUAUAGCUCAUAGUGAAAGUUUGUUCAUACCAUUUUUUUAAAUAGAAAUGCACGUUUUCUGGUGGGAUGACAUUCUGACAGAAAAUUGGAUUAAUUACCUAUGUCAAACAAUAUAUAUGGUUCCAAGUUUGUUCGGAUGACUUUUUCAGGAAUGGAGCAAUGUCAUGAUCUCGGACCACCCAAGUCUAGAUGGUGGAUUAUAUUACCUAUAUCAUGUGUAUACCCAACAUGUAUGAUCUCGCAUAGUAAAACUUAUGGAACUAUGGUAGUAGUUUUUCACUCUAUUCAUAUCGUUGGUGAUGUAUUGAUAGUUUAGUGAUAAUUGGAAUACAUUUUUCUUAAAAGGUCAAGUUCUAUUUUUCA